CCUACGGGGGGCAGCAGUGAGGAAUAUUGGACAAUGGGCGCAAGCCUGAUCCAGCCAUGCCGCGUGCAGGAUGACGGUCCUAUGGAUUGUAAACUGCUUUUGCACAGGAAGAAACAACAUUACGAGUAAUGUCUUGACGGUACUGUGAGAAUAAGGAUCGGCUAACUCCGUGCCAGCAGCCGCGGUAAUACGGAGGAUCCAAGCGUUAUCCGGAAUCAUUGGGUUUAAAGGGUCCGUAGGCGGUUUAAUAAGUCAGUGGUGAAAGCCCAUCGCUCAACGGUGGAACGGCCAUUGAUACUGUUAAACUUGAAUUAUUAGGAAGUAACUAGAAUAUGUAGUGUAGCGGUGAAAUGCUUAGAGAUUACAUGGAAUACCAAUUGCGAAGGCAGGUUACUACUAAUUGAUUGACGCUGAUGGACGAAAGCGUGGGUAGCGAACAGGAUUAGAUACCCCAGUAGUC
rnacentral:rRNA from 1 species